GUUCUAUAUAAUAUUGGUACAUUCGGCGCCUCAUAGAAGAGAGGCUUCUCUGCGUCCUACCAAACUUUAGAGAUCGGAGUUUGUGGUAGUACUAUCAGCUCUGCAACAAGUCUCUUGACGUCGCCCAACUACCCUGAUACAUACGGAAACAAUGCUGAUUGUUCUUUCACUAUCCACGCCCCUGUCGGUCAGACUAUCACUCUAUCUUUCGACGACAUCGAUAUAGAAGAUCAUGUUUCAUGCAGUGCAGAUGCAGUAGAGGUUCAUGAUGGUGAUAUGCAUGGUCCUUACCUUGAAAAAGUGUGUGGAAACACGAUCCCUACACCAAUAACUUCCACCAAGAACUCCAUGUAUGUGAGGUUUAUCAGCGACAAUUCAAUUACUAGGUCAGGAUUCAAGGCACUCGCCACCACCCAGUAAGGGUGUAGACAUGGCCCGACUCGAUCAUAACAGCAUUAUCAUUAUCAUGAUGAGUAAUAUUUUAUUGAUAUAUGUUUUGAUAUGAAUGUGCAGUUUUACUUAAACAGUAUUAGUUUGGUUAUUUUGACAAAGCCCUGUGGGCGAAAAUUCGUUUAAAAGGGCUGCCCAAGGAAUAUUCAUUGAACUCUUUGAACAUUCUUUCGAAAUCUUCGAGCUUAUCUUUUGACUUUAUUUCAAAUGCUGCUGCUAUUAUGUUGUUAACCACACAAAAUUCUGAUAUUGAAAGAUUACCCGGAAAAUGAUAAGAUCAUUCUGAACAAAUCGAAUGAAAUAUAGGCCUAUACAAGAAAUAAUAUCAAAAUGGGAAUAAUUCUUGGCAUAUUAUGUCAAGGAAUUAUUCCCAUUUUGAUAUUUCCGGAUUUAGUGAAGAGACAUUACUUCCUUGAUUGUAUUUUAAAUACAACAGGAACGUCAAUCAUUAGACAUCUAACAGGUACUUUUGUUUUAAGUUUGCCAUGCAGUCUAGAAUACCUGGUUUUUAUUUGAUCUUGAGUGUCGUUACCAUGGAAAUGAUACCAAUGGAUGGUAUGUUAACGUAAUACUAAGUCGUAUUCAACAGGCUCCAGGAGGUCAGAAGGAUAUAUUGCUUUUAAAACAUUGACAAUAAACUUCUUAAAAUGAAGAACUCGAUUGCUGAAAUUAUAGAGAGUGCUUUCAUGACUAGGCAUUUAUUUUUUCCUAUUAAUCGAAAAUUCACUGGUGAUUAUGUUUCCAAUGUGAUCGUAUGGAGAACGUACAAAAAUUAAGCAAUUGUUGGUUUUUUUAUAAAUAGAGUAACGCACGAAUUAAAAAGUUCAAAUCCUU